GGACCGUUAGCUCAGUUGGUAGAGCAGCUGACUCUUAAUCAGCGGGUCGUGGGUUCAAGUCCCGCACGGUCCA
rnacentral:tRNA from 1 species